CCAGACCUUGGAAAAGCCAACUCAGUGAAAGCAAGGACCCUAAACCCACCAGCUUCAUCUGCUGUGAAGACGAGACCAACAAAAGAGAUUCACCAGGCUUCCCAUCUGAUUUUUUCCUGAACUGGUAGAUCUCUGCAGCUCACAGAUUUGCCCACGGAAACUAUCAGACAUUAUCACAGGCCACAGAUAUUAAUUGGAGAUAUCAUAACACAGCUAAAGCAGGACCACUGCACAAAGAGAAACCCCAUCUGACACUCCAAGAGGACUGCAGCCACUCUAAUUUGGACUGCUACCAACACGCUGGCCAAAGGGGUGUCAGAUAUCAAAAUAAAGUGCUACUGAAAAGAACAAACUGAUGCCAGUGCUGCAGGUGAGAGAAGGCACAUGAAGGAGGUCAAGCACAUGAGUUCAGACCCUGGAUAGAGGCAGUCCUCUUGUGAAGCAGGGGAAUUUUCAAGGAAUAAUCGUAAUUGCUGGAAUCCUGGAUGCUGAGAAUUUUAAACUUUCUGUGCUGAAAGGCACAGACUCGCAAGAGAGCACUGCAUUUGACCUGAAGCUGUGGAGAAGACUUCUAAAAUUGAUUAACAGCACUGGGAUUCCAGAAGGACUUUUCUGCACAGGAGGAAGCAAUUGAUGGGAAUCAUGGGGAUUCAGCUGGAUUUCAUGAGCCAGCUGGAUUUCAUCUAUAUUUUGUUCUCUCCAUAUCUGUAUUCAACUAUGUUUCUGUCUAUAUAUACCUAUGUUUCUGUAUGUCAAUAGUUGUAUUUCAAAUUAUAUGCUGUUAUACUUACUUAGUUACAUUAUACAGAGAUUUAGAUAAGUACUUUAGUAUUUGCAUACUUAUAUUUGCUUACCACGUAUAUUGUUAUUUUUGCACAAAUGUCAACAUAUUUAUAUACCAUAGAUUGUUAUGUUUAUAUAUGUAUGGUGUUCCACGUAAAGCUGUGUAGAGUUGUACAGUUUAGUGUUGAAGACAGGUAGAAGAAUUAUGGGAAAAAAGCCUCAUAAAAUCAGGCCUGCUCUGUUAGAUCAAUGGCUGGCCUUGCUUUGCAAGUUCUUCGAAAACAAUCUUGGUAUGAAUAGUUGAUUAACAUAACAAUCUAUUCCUGGGUGGAAAACAACUAGUGCCUGCAUAAACAGUAAAUCUAUCCCAGAGGAUUAGUGAAGAAAAUAUGUAAACAAUUUAAAAUUAGAAGAGAUUUAAUGGACAAGUAAAAUACCUUUUACUAACCAAUAGAGUAAAUGGCAAGAAAACUACUAACCAAUUAAAGUUCACACGAUAUAAGUAUAAAAAUGUUCUGUGUGAAUGAAGAAAACAUUUUAUUCCUGAAUGAAAAAAAUGGAGUCUUGAGGUGGCUGCUGGAACCUGGGCUAGCUCUCAGAACUCCAGCCACAAGGCAGGAGUGGGGAACUGUGGGAUAUGCCCCUGGGGAAAACAGUUCAGGAAUGCCAUGGGAAACUGAUUUGUUUAAAACAGAACACUUCCCCAGAGUUCCCUGCUUCCCCAUGCAGAUGAGCAUAUGUCUAUCAUCUGUCAGUUCAUGCUUGUCAUCUCCCCAGGUUCUAGAAAGUUCCCCAUUCUCAUUACUCCCAUUGGUUCCCUCAGCAAACCACUCCUUCCCUUCUCCCUCAUUAGUCUAGUUUAUCUUGUUCCAUCCCUGCUCCUUCCCUGUACCCUUUUCCCGUUGAACGUUUUGUACCCCAACCACUCCUAUCCCUUCCCAGUUAAAUAUCCUAUCCCCCUCCAGUUAAAUAUCCCAGUUAAAUAUCCCCAGUGCCUCUCAGAGCUGUCUCCCCCUGUGUGUGGUUGUUUCCCUGUUCCUGUUCCUGCUUCCUUUGUCCUUCAACUUGUUUCAAUAAAACCACAUGGAUUUUGGCAGCACGGGAGUCUUCCUGUCUUUUGGUAGAGCCUCAUUACGCUAUCGAGGCAACUGUAGACCAGCCAGCAGUCUGUUGCUCUGCAGGACUCAGUCCGGGGCAGCCUUUAGGGAACUGCCUUGGUAUGAGGAUUUACCAGAGGCAGAAUCUUUAGAGCCACUUGCUCUAAGGUGACAGACACAAGCCACAACAGGGACCAGGCAGAGGAGAAAAGAGGAUGCUCUCCAUCUUGAGGUUCCACAACAAACAGUUUAUUCCAGGUAGAAAGAGUAGAACAAAAAGCCCACAGAUGUGCUGUCCAAGGCGUUUUGUAGAGAUACAAGUCGGGGGUGGACAACAGCUAACCAAUAGGGAAUCAUCAGGGGAGGAGUGCAGGGAUUACAUCCAGUGUCUAGGGCCAAUUGGAGUAGGAGGGUGGAGAGGAUGGGUCACAUGGGCCAAUUGGGCUUUAAGGAGUAGGGGAAUUCCAAAGAGGUAUUGCAGACAGGGUUUGGCCCAAGGCUUAAGUGGCAGAGAAGGUUCCGGAAUCAAGGGCUGGGUUGCCUUAACAGGCAGAGAAAAGAGCUGGAACAAAAGGUGGGGAAUGGCAUGAGGGACAGCUUUGAAGGAGGGUAAAACCCAGGGGUAAACCAACUCAGGGAGAUCAUGGGGGUACAACAGAACAAACUACUUAACAAGGAAUCAAUAAAAUAAAUUCAAACCACAACAGAGUCUCACAUUAUUAAUUCUAAUAGUUUAGUUAUUGCUUUGUGCAUAUUUAGAUAGUUCAUUUGAUGUUUGUCUUUUUGUAUAUAUACAUACGUAGGCAUUACUUUGUAACCUGCAAUAUAUUUAAUUGUGUGAUCUGAAAGUGAUAUUUAUAUCUUUAUAUAUGGUCACUGCAGUUGUACCAAUCUGUAGUAAGCUUUUAAAUGAAACUGGUAAUUGCGUAUAUGCAGGAUGGUUGCAAGCAUCGUAUAAUCAAUGACUUUUUUUUAACUGAAAGAGGUAUUGAAUUGUGGCUUUUGACUCAAUUAGCAGAUGUCCACCUUAGGAACCAGGAAGAUUUUAGCAAUGGGUCAUGAUAGGGGCUGGGGGAAAAUAGGCAGGCAUGCCCCACACCACAGAUCCCCCAGUUCCAAAAAAGGAGGGAAAGAAACUGCAGGGUUUGGAUAGGCAGUGGAGCCACAGAUUCAGGGAAAACUCACUGCACGGGCCUGCUAAGGAAAGCUACAAUUCCAAGUGUAACUUUGAGAAAGGCAAAGAAACCCCAAUCCAAGAGGACAUCUUACUUCUUUCCGGAUACCACUACUUUCCCACAUAACAAGCAGAUGAACAUAAAUCAAUCCCACAUACAGUGUAUCAACUCUUAAGGUAUAUUUACACCUGUUAUUACUUUGGAGUCCAAGAGAUCUUUUGUGAAGUCCACAAUGUAUUUCUAGAUUGGUGUACUCUCUGAGAAAUUAUUUUUUAAAUAUGGCCAUUAGCACUUUUCUGACAGUUUCAGACAUGGAAGAUAGAGAUUUGCCUAUGCUUCUAAAACCCCUCACAAGUUAUCUAUCCUCCAAAUCCUAGGGAAUUUUUACUGUGUUAUGAAUAAAUUUAAUGUCUAACCCUUUUGUCUGUUUACCUCCUCACAGUUCAGAAGUUUGCUUGUUCAUGUAUUUGUUAGUUCCACCCUUAUAUAUUGGCCCCUAUACCUAAUUUACACCCCCAGUUAACUCCCCGAGCCUCUGUACCCCUUCCUGCCGUUGGUACCUUUGUAAAAAUCCUUUGUAGAAGGAAUCCUACCUGUUUGUUCUGCUGUUUCUAGUAGUUUGAAGCCCCUUCUGUCCCUUACACUGCGUCGGGUAGUUCAGAAGCUGCUCCCAGGAAGUUGCUCCCAGGGAAGACUUCCUGUUUCCCAGAGGGCCUAGUGUCUACUGUAUAUUAAUUACUGGACUCCAACAUAAACCAGAAUGGACCCAGACAACAAGCCAAGAGCAGAGACUGCAAAAUGAUCUACACCUACGUGCAGGGGAAGUUUCAAGGAGCCAGAGAGGGCCCUCAGCAUUUCUGGAGCCGACCGUUGUAACCAAAGGAGCCAGAACGAGGUAAACCCCCCCAGACCAAAGAGCUACAGCAGAGUCUUUUGACGUAUCCUACGAGGGCGAAGACUCCUAUCCUGCCUUGACUGACAGGCUCAUCUACCCCUCCUCUGGGACGUUGACUCACCUGGGAGCAGCGGUGGCGUUGCGAACCCCGAGCCCCCACCCCCAUAGGCUAUCCUUUUAAUAAAGGCCUUAUCAAGAAAGGA